UUAAGCGACUAAGCGUACACGGUGGAUGCCCUGGCAGUCAGAGGCGAUGAAGGACGUGCUAAUCUGCGAUAAGCGUCGGUAAGGUGAUAUGAACCGUUAUAACCGGCGAUUUCCGAAUGGGGAAACCCAGUGUGAUUCGUCACACUAUCAUUAACUGAAUCCAUAGGUUAAUGAGGCGAACCGGGGGAACUGAAACAUCUAAGUACCCCGAGGAAAAGAAAUCAACCGAGAUUCCCCCAGUAGCGGCGAGCGAACGGGGAGCAGCCCAGAGCCUGAAUCAGUGUGUGUGUUAGUGGAAGCGUCUGGAAAGGCGCGCGAUACAGGGUGACAGCCCCGUACACAAAAAUGCACAUGCUGUGAGCUCGAUGAGUAGGGCGGGACACGUGGUAUCCUGUCUGAAUAUGGGGGGACCAUCCUCCAAGGCUAAAUACUCCUGACUGACCGAUAGUGAACCAGUACCGUGAGGGAAAGGCGAAAAGAACCCCGGCGAGGGGAGUGAAAAAGAACCUGAAACCGUGUACGUACAAGCAGUGGGAGCACGCUUAGGCGUGUGACUGCGUACCUUUUGUAUAAUGGGUCAGCGACUUAUAUUCUGUAGCAAGGUUAACCGAAUAGGGGAGCCGAAGGGAAACCGAGUCUUAACUGGGCGUUAAGUUGCAGGGUAUAGACCCGAAACCCGGUGAUCUAGCCAUGGGCAGGUUGAAGGUUGGGUAACACUAACUGGAGGACCGAACCGACUAAUGUUGAAAAAUUAGCGGAUGACUUGUGGCUGGGGGUGAAAGGCCAAUCAAACCGGGAGAUAGCUGGUUCUCCCCGAAAGCUAUUUAGGUAGCGCCUCGUGAAUUCAUCUCCGGGGGUAGAGCACUGUUUCGGCAAGGGGGUCAUCCCGACUUACCAACCCGAUGCAAACUGCGAAUACCGGAGAAUGUUAUCACGGGAGACACACGGCGGGUGCUAACGUCCGUCGUGAAGAGGGAAACAACCCAGACCGCCAGCUAAGGUCCCAAAGUCAUGGUUAAGUGGGAAACGAUGUGGGAAGGCCCAGACAGCCAGGAUGUUGGCUUAGAAGCAGCCAUCAUUUAAAGAAAGCGUAAUAGCUCACUGGUCGAGUCGGCCUGCGCGGAAGAUGUAACGGGGCUAAACCAUGCACCGAAGCUGCGGCAGCGACGCUGAUGCGUUGUUGGGUAGGGGAGCGUUCUGUAAGCCUGCGAAGGUGUGCUGUGAGGCAUGCUGGAGGUAUCAGAAGUGCGAAUGCUGACAUAAGUAACGAUAAAGCGGGUGAAAAGCCCGCUCGCCGGAAGACCAAGGGUUCCUGUCCAACGUUAAUCGGGGCAGGGUGAGUCGACCCCUAAGGCGAGGCCGAAAGGCGUAGUCGAUGGGAAACAGGUUAAUAUUCCUGUACUUGGUGUUACUGCGAAGGGGGGACGGAGAAGGCUAUGUUGGCCGGGCGACGGUUGUCCCGGUUUAAGCGUGUAGGCUGGUUUUCCAGGCAAAUCCGGAAAAUCAAGGCUGAGGCGUGAUGACGAGGCACUACGGUGCUGAAGCAACAAAUGCCCUGCUUCCAGGAAAAGCCUCUAAGCAUCAGGUAACAUCAAAUCGUACCCCAAACCGACACAGGUGGUCAGGUAGAGAAUACCAAGGCGCUUGAGAGAACUCGGGUGAAGGAACUAGGCAAAAUGGUGCCGUAACUUCGGGAGAAGGCACGCUGAUAUGUAGGUGAAGUCCCUCGCGGAUGGAGCUGAAAUCAGUCGAAGAUACCAGCUGGCUGCAACUGUUUAUUAAAAACACAGCACUGUGCAAACACGAAAGUGGACGUAUACGGUGUGACGCCUGCCCGGUGCCGGAAGGUUAAUUGAUGGGGUCAGCGCAAGCGAAGCUCUUGAUCGAAGCCCCGGUAAACGGCGGCCGUAACUAUAACGGUCCUAAGGUAGCGAAAUUCCUUGUCGGGUAAGUUCCGACCUGCACGAAUGGCGUAAUGAUGGCCAGGCUGUCUCCACCCGAGACUCAGUGAAAUUGAACUCGCUGUGAAGAUGCAGUGUACCCGCGGCAAGACGGAAAGACCCCGUGAACCUUUACUAUAGCUUGACACUGAACAUUGAGCCUUGAUGUGUAGGAUAGGUGGGAGGCUUUGAAGUGUGGACGCCAGUCUGCAUGGAGCCGACCUUGAAAUACCACCCUUUAAUGUUUGAUGUUCUAACGU
rnacentral:rRNA from 1 species